rnacentral:rRNA from 1 species
UCCAGACUCCUACGGGAGGCAGCAGUGGGGGAUAUUGCACAAUGGGGGGAACCCUGAUGCAGCGACGCCGCGUGGGUGAAGGAGUAUUUCGGUAUGUAAAGCCCUAUCGGCAGGGAAGAAGCAAGACGGUACCUGACUAAGAAGCCCCGGCUAACUACGUGCCAGCAGCCGCGGUAAUACGUAGGGGGCAAGCGUUAUCCGGAUUUACUGGGUGUAAAGGGAGCGUAGACGGUGAAGCAAGUCUGAAGUGAAAGGCGGGGGCUCAACCCCCGGACUGCUUUGGAAACUGUUUGACUGGAGUGCAGGAGAGGUAAGUGGAAUUCCUAGUGUAGCGGUGAAAUGCGUAGAUAUUAGGAGGAACACCAGUGGCGAAGGCGGCUUACUGGACUGUAACUGACGUUGAGGCUCGAAAGCGUGGGGAGCAAACAGGAUUAGAUACCCUAGUAA